GAUGAACGCUGGCGGCGUGCCUAAUACAUGCAAGUCGAGCGAACAGACGAGGAGCUUGCUCCUCUGACGUUAGCGGCGGACGGGUGAGUAACACGUGGAUAACCUACCUAUAAGACUGGGAUAACUUCGGGAAACCGGAGCUAAUACCGGAUAAUAUAUUGAACCGCAUGGUUCAAUAGUGAAAGACGGUUUUGCUUUCACUUAUAGAUGGAUCCGCGCCGCAUUAGCUAGUUGGUAAGGUAACGGCUUACCAAGGCAACGAUGCGUAGCCGACCUGAGAGGGUGAUCGGGCACACUGGAACUGAGACACGGUCCAGACUCCUACGGGAGGCAGCAGUAGGGAAUCUUCCGCAAUGGGCGAAAGCCUGACGGAGCAACGCCGCGUGAGUGAUGAAGGUCUUCGGAUCGUAAAACUCUGUUAUUAGGGAAGAACAAAUGUGUAAGUAACUAUGCACGUCUUGACGGUACCUAAUCAGAAAGCCACGGCUAACUACGUG
rnacentral:rRNA from 1 species